rnacentral:misc_RNA from 1 species
AUCCUCGAGGGUUAAUACCA